UAACACCUUCCCACCCUGUCCGUCUGUCUUCAGGAUGCAGUGAAGCGUCUGGAGUGGAUAGCCGGGGGGACGUGGACCCCGUCAGCGCUGAAGUACGCCUACGACCACCUGAUCAAGGACAGCCGCCGAGCUAAAGCCAACGUCACCGUGGUGGUCAUCACAGACGGACGGUUCGACCCCAGGGACGAUGACUCACUGCUCACAUACCUCUGCAGCGACCCCAGUGUGGACGUGAGCGCUAUAGGUAUAGGGGACAUGUUUGACCAGAUAGAGGAGAAUGAGAGCCUGAAGAGUAUAGCCUGUCAGAGAGAAGGUAGGGUGCUGGGGAUGAGGCGCUUCGCUGAUCUGGUGGCAGAGGAGUUCAUCGACAAGAUAGAGACCGUGCUCUGCCCAGACCCUGUGAUCGUGUGUCCUGACCUUCCAUGUAAAACUGGUAAGAUCAUUCUGAUACAUACUAUAACAGAUACAUACUAUAACAGAUACAUACUUUAACAGAUACAUACUAUAAUAACAGAUACAUACUAUAACAG